rnacentral:rRNA from 1 species
UACGUAGGGUGCAAGCGUUAAUCGGAAUUACUGGGCGUAAAGCGUGCGCAGGCGGUUGUGCAAGACAGAUGUGAAAUCCCCGGGCUCAACCUGGGAACUGCAUUUGUGACUGCACGGCUAGAGUGUGUCAGAGGGGGGGUAGAAUUCCACGUGUAGCAGUGAAAUGCGUAGAUACUGGGAGGAACACCAGUGGCGAAGGCGGCUACCUGGACCGGUUCUGACGCUGAGGCGCGAAAGCGUGGGUAGCAAACAGG